AUGGGACAGAGCACAUGUAACCCUAUAUGGUGUCGGAUAUGGAAGUUAUCUUGUCCGGCUAAAGUCAAAAUAUUUUUAUGGCGGAUACUACAUGGUACUCUUCCAUGCCGGGCAACACUCACUAAUAGACACAUGAAGGUCUCACCCUUGUGUCCUACAUGCUCCCAGGGUGUAGAAGAUACAAAGCACUUGCUUUUCCUAUGUAGAAAAGCGAAGGAGGUUUGGAAAAGGCUAGGGUUGGAUAUGAUUAUUGAGAGAGCUUGUGAGAUUGAUCGUGCUGGGGAGGCAAUACUGGAAUACUUAUUACUCCUUCCAGAUCAAGAUCUGCGCAUUAUGGGGUACGAAAAUGUUCGAGAAAUGGUAGCUAUCUCUGCUUGGUAUCUAUGGUGGGAAAGAAGGAAAUUAGUGCAUAAGGAAUUCACUCAAAAUGCGACUCAGAUCUCAAUGGGGAUCAUAGCUCUUACAUAUAAUUUUGUAAAUGCAUCAUCUUAA
rnacentral:rRNA from 1 species